rnacentral:rRNA from 1 species
UGGCGGAAUGCUUUACACAUGCAAGUCGAACGGCAGCACGGACUUCGGUCUGGUGGCGAGUGGCGAACGGGUGAGUAACAUAUCGGAACGUAUCCAAUAAUGGGGGAUAACUAAUCGAAGGGUUGGCUAAUACCGCAUACGCCCUACGGGGGAAAGCAGGGGAUCUUCGGACCUUGCGUUAAUGGAGCGGCUGAUAUCUGAUUAGCUAGUUGGUGAGGUAAAGGCUCACCAAGGCGACGAUCAGUAGCUGGUCUGAGAGGACGACCAGCCACACUGGAACUGAGACACGGUCCAGACUCCUACGGGAGGCAGCAGUGGGGAAUUUUGGACAAUGGGCGCAAGCCUGAUCCAGCCAUUCCGCGUGAGUGAAGAAGGCCUUCGGGUUGUAAAGCUCUUUCGCAAGGGAAGAAAACUUACUUUUUAAUAAAGAGUGAGGUUGACGGUACCUUGAUAAGAAGCACCGGCUAACUACGUGCCAGCAGCCGCGGUAAUACGUAGGGUGCGAGCGUUAAUCGGAAUUACUGGGCGUAAAGCGUGCGCAGGCGGCUUUGUAAGUCAGAUGUGAAAUCCCCGAGCUCAACUUGGGAACUGCGUUUGAAACUACAAGGCUAGAAUAUGUCAGAGGGGGGUAGAAUUCCACGUGUAGCAGUGAAAUGCGUAGAGAUGUGGAGGAAUACCAAUGGCGAAGGCAGCCCCCUGGGAUAAUAUUGACGCUCAUGCACGAAAGCGUGGGGAGCAAACAGGAUUAGAUACCCUGGUAGUCCACGCCCUAAACGAUGUCUACUAGUUGUUGGUGGAGUAAAAUCCAUGAGUAACGCAGCUAACGCGUGAAGUAGACCGCCUGGGGAGUACGGUCGCAAGAUUA